UGUGUCACUUUUGAUAAGGUAAGGGAAAAAAAGAGAUAGUACCUUACUAUUAGUGUCGUCCAAGUACUCGUGCCAGAAGACUCGGUAAGGCGAGAGACACAAACGUUAGUCGUCUUAAUCAGGCGUAAAGGGUUUGUAGGCGGCUUUAAGAAUGAAUAAACUUUUAAAUAACACUAUAUUCUUUAGGGUAUAGGAAGGAAGAAGUCAUCAAUUAAAGCUAGAAUCAAAUAGAGGUCAAAUUAAAUAAUACUUGGUGUAAGAUUGGUAUCUUUAAAAACCAAGCGGAAUACUAACGGCGAAGGCUUUUUUCCAAUAAUGAUUGACGCUGAUAAACUAAGGUGAGGACAGAAAAAAGGAUUAGAGACCCUCGUAUUCCUCACUGUCAACGAUGAAUGGUAGUUACUAGAAACUAAAUUAUAAAUUCUAGAGACGAUGUUAACACGAAAACCAUUCCGCCUUGUGAGUACGACUGCAAAGUUGAAAACAAAAAAAUUAGUCGGUUUCGGAGCAAACGAAGUGAAGCAUGUUAUUUAAUUC
rnacentral:rRNA from 1 species